UUCUGAUUUUACAGCUUUGUUUAAUAUGUACAUUUUUUGGAAAUCAUAAAAACCAAUAAGCAAUAAAUAUUUUUACAGCAACACAGUUCAUAUCACUCACAGAGUUAGCCAGCAUUAUUCCACCAGUAGUGAGACAUUCCACCGUCAAAAUAUAAAAACGCAGAGAUCUAUGGGGAAUUCCUUAAAAAAGUGAGCUGACAACCAACAUGCUAAACCAGGGGGGUAAGCAACCUUCAGCACUCCAGAUGCUGUGGACUACAUCUCCCAUAAUGCUGGCAAAGCAUCAGGAGGGGUGUAGUCCACAACAUCUGCAGUUAACGAAGUUGGACUACAAUAGUGGUAAACUAACGUAACAGAGAUAACGGGAAAAAUGUUUUUUGGCCUAUAAGAUGGUUGUCAACUCACUAUUUAAGGAAUAAAGCCCUUGUUAAUACAGGUUAACAAAACAAUCAGGUAAAAAAUAGAAAAUCCCAUUGGGUAUCAUUUAGCGAAAGUCACUCAAAGUUUUCACCUAUGACUGGGAUCCCUUUAAGGCACAGAAGAAUGAUGCCUUCAGCGCCAUUUUUAUAUUUGAAGCGUGCUUUGGUACACCCAAUCAAACAAGAACAAAUGCUAGGAUGAUUUAGGUCUAAAACACAAAUCCGAUGUAGAAAAAUUUCAAAACAAACCCUCCAUCACCACAGAUCAGUUACUAUAAUACAACAGUAUUGUACAAUGCAGAAUAAAAAAAUAAAAAAUAAAAAAAAAAACAAAGGAUCGUGGGAAAGAAUAGUCAACUUUCUGCACUCCAGCUUCUUGUGGAUUGCAGCUCCCACAAGGUUAACAGAACAUUAUGGCUGGAGGGAUAGAAGCAGCCUAAUAUGAACAGCAGGACAAAAAGCCGUUGAAUAGUUUGCGGUUUACAUUGUACACUGUAUAGAACCAUUUUACACAGUGCUCUAAACCAGGAGUGGAGAUAGAGUGCGUGAAGAUUUGUGGGAAAUACUGACCCCUGCUGUUCAAAAUAAAAAUAGCCAUUAUUACUUUAUAAUUCAGCUUCUCCCCAGUAGAAUUUUCAAGCUUAAUUAAAAUAUUUUACAUACACCCAAAUAUACAUACAAUAAAGGAUUUAAGUCAUUGAAUUACAUCUUGCUUUCCCAGCACAAAAAAAAUAAAUAAAAAACGGAAGCAGUUUACGUGAUUUGUAAGUAGUAAUAUAGUUAUUCCUCAUUGUAAUGAGAAACAUUAAUGAUAACCACAGUUAAAGGUUAGGAUUUGGACAAAACCAAUGUUGCGAAUUAUAAAUCUUAUCUUCUUUAGGGAACAUGAAACUUAAUACAUCUACUGCCUUUUAUUAACAAUACAAUGUACAUGCCUUGAUACAUGGUUUUCUAGGAUUUGCCAUCAUUGCCACGAGCUUUAAAAGCCAGAUGCCUGCACCAUAACAUUGCUAAUUAAAGAUGUUCAACUUCGUUUUAAAAGAUUGAUCAGGUUACUCAAUAUUACUCUGGGCAUAAUUUUACGUGAAUUUUAAAAUUGAAAAUCCAUGCUGGAUUUCACCCAUUUUAUUAUACAUAGAUUAUAUAAUAUAUAAAUAAUCAAGACUCGAACAGGUAGAAACGUUGAUUUAUAUUUUGCACAGUUAUUUGAUGGAAAUACAACAAACAACUUUUUUUUUUUUUCAGACCUGGAGUGCUCCC